rnacentral:rRNA from 1 species
UACAGAGGGUGCAAACGUUGCUCGGAAUUAUUGGGCGUAAAGCGCACGUAGGCGGCAUCGUAAGUCUGAUGUGAAAGCCCUGGGUUCAACCCAGGAAGUGCAUUGGAUACUGCGAAGCUUGAAUCUGGAAGAGGGUCGCGGAAUUCCCGGUGUAGAGGUGAAAUUCGUAGAUAUCGGGAGGAACACCAGUGGCGAAGGCGGCGACCUGGGCCAAGAUUGACGCUGAGGUGCGAAAGCGUGGGGAGCGAACAGG